rnacentral:rRNA from 1 species
GACGAACGCUGGCGGCGUGCUUAACACAUGCAAGUCGAACGGAAAGGCCUGCUUUCCCUUGGGGGCUGGGGGUACUCGAGUGGCGAACGGGUGAGUAACACGUGAGUGAUCUGCCCCCAACUUGGGAAUAAGCCUGGGAUACUGCGUCUAAUUCGCGAUAGGACCGCGGGGUGGUGCCUGUGGUGGAAGACGAUUUUCUAGUGGUUGGGGAUGAGCUCGCGGCCUGUGAGCUUGUUGGUGGGGUAAUGGUCUACCAAGGCGGGGACGGGUAGCCGGCCCGCGAGGGUGGACCGGCACAUUGGGACUGAGACACGGCGCCGACGGCUAGGAGCGGCAGCAGAGGGGAGUCAGGCGCGGUGAGCCGGAGCCUGAUGCAGCGACGCCGCGUGGGAGAUGCCGGGCUUGGGAUUGUAAUCUCCUUGGGACAGAGAGCAAGCCACCUGGACGGAGGGGUGGUGACGGUAGUGGUAGAAGAAGCACCGGCUAACUACGUG